UUCAAUGCUUUGGUAACGAAUUAUAUUGUUGCCAACUCAAAAUUUGACAUUCUUUUUGUGUACCUGGCAAAUAAUAGCAAAAAUUCAAAAAACUAAAAUAUUAUUAACUUAAUAAAAUCAUCCACUACAUAAUCAUUCAUUAGCUUUGUAAUUAACCAUCUAAAGCUACCACAGUUCUUCAAUCAAAGUAUAUAUCUACAUAUAUAGAGAGAGUAAACUUCAUAAUUUUGUCCCUUAUCUUCCGUAAACGUAGCACGAAAAUUUGAUACCCAGUAUUGUAAGGCAGGUCGUAGAAGCAGUCUUCCUG
rnacentral:lncRNA from 1 species